GGCACACAUUGUAUUGUGAUGUUCUAAAUGGAGAUGCUUAUAAGGAGCUUUGUAAGAGGACAAAAUUACAGUGUAAUUGUAAUAAUUUUGACCACUAUAACAAUAGGACAGUCAAUGAGACAGGACAGUGCAUGCGGAUAAUGACAGCAGAAUCAAUGUGGACACACACGAGCUUCAUUUACACUUUGACCAGUUUUAGUUAUAUCCCUUCUGGCAAACAAUUAUCCAAUCUUAGCAACAACCCAGAACCUCUUAGCAACUGCAUAGCGACAUCCUGACAGGUUAAAUUGCAUCACAUCUCUAUAUCCGCUGAGGGCUAACCUAGGUUCAGGUUCGCCUUAUCCAGCGCGGAAGUGAUCCUGAAACAGACAUCCGAGACUCUAGAUAUCCAUAUGGACCCGGAUCAGCAGGGGGAAGUGAGUAUUCUCACCAGAGAACAUUCAAUGCCAGUACGGCUUCACCACUCGCAGCCUCGGAGGGAGCCGCUAAUGACAAUUCACAGCCAACUGCCGUCUCUUGGGCUGCCGAGUCCCUGCGUUUAGUAGCAUCUAAAAUUCAUGACAGAUUUGUUAUAAUCCCAGGCAGAGCUACGCAGCAGCGCUCUCUAAACACAACUGACAGCGCACUGUACAAGACUCUUUAAAGACCUCAUCAACAGGCAGUGUGCUAAAUACGGCACGCAAGACUUUUUUUUUUUUUUCUCCUCUCCCAACCUACAUAUAGCCAUGUUUUUGUGAGUAUGGACCCUUUUUUCCCACUUUGAUCUCCGUGAUUGAGGAGCGGCCCUCCAUCCAUGUGAUAAACAGCAGCGUGACUCCCUCCGCCAGCCCAUGCAUGUGUUUCUGGGAGCGACUCUGACCCCUUGGAUGUUAAAAUCGCUGGUGUGUGCGCGGAUGUGGGGGCCGACUCUCUGCUGUGAGAUGCACAGGGUCAUACAUGCAUGUGUGGGUGGUGGUAUAUAUCUGUCUCUCUCUGUUUCUGCCUACCGCACUGU